rnacentral:rRNA from 1 species
ACCCUUUUCUAAGGAAUAGCCACUGGAAACGGUGAGUAAUGCCUUAUACGCCCUUCGGGGGAAAGAUUCAUCGGAGAAGGAUCGGCCCGCGUUAGAUUAGAUAGUUGGUGGGGUAAUGGCCUACCAAGUCUACGAUCUAUAGCUGGUUUUAGAGGAUGAUCAGCAACACUGGGACUGAGACACGGCCCAGACUCCUACGGGAGGCAGCAGUGGGGAAUAUUAGACAAUGGGCGCAAGCCUGAUCUAGCCAUGCCGCGUGUGUGAUGAAGGUCUUAGGAUCGUAAAGCACUUUCGCCAGGGAUGAUAAUGACAGUACCUGGAGAAUAAGCUCCGGCUAACUCCGUGCCAGCAGCCGCGGUAAUACGGAGGGAGCUAGCGUUGUUCGGAAUUACUGGGCGUAAAGCGCACGUAGGCGGCUUUUCAAGUCAGGGGUGAAAUCCCGGGGCUCAACCCCGGAACUGCCCUUGAAACUGGAUGGCUAGAAUACUGGAGAGGUGAGUGGAAUUCCGAGUGUAGAGGUGAAAUUCGUAGAUAUUCGGAGGAACACCAGUGGCGAAGGCGGCUCACUGGCUCGAUACUGACGCUGAGGUACGAAAGUGUGGGGAGCAAACAGGAUUAGAUACCCUGGUAGUCCACACCGUAAACGAUGAAUGCCAGUCGUCGGGCAGUAUACUGUUCGGUGACACACCUAACGGAUUAAGCAUUCCGCCUGGGGAGUACGGUCGCAAGAUUAAAACUCAAAGGAAUUGACGG